AUUGAACGCUGGCGGCAUGCUUUACACAUGCAAGUCGAGCGGCAGCGCGGGCUUCGGCCUGGCGGCGAGUGGCGAACGGGUGAGUAAUGCAUCGGAACGUGCCCAGUAGUGGGGGAUAGCCCGGCGAAAGCCGGAUUAAUACCGCAUACGACCUGAGGGUGAAAGCGGGGGACCGAAAGGCCUCGCGCUAUUGGAGCGGCCGAUGUCGGAUUAGCUAGUUGGUGGGGUAAAGGCUUACCAAGGCGACGAUCCGUAGCUGGUCUGAGAGGACGACCAGCCACACUGGGACUGAGACACGGCCCAGACUCCUACGGGGGGCAGCAGUGGGGAAUUUUGGACAAUGGGGGCAACCCUGAUCCAGCCAUGCCGCGUGCGGGAAGAAGGCCUUCGGGUUGUAAACCGCUUUUGUUCGGGAAGAAAUCCUCUGGGCUAAUACCCCGGGGGGAUGACGGUACCGGAAGAAUAAGCACCGGCUAACUACGUG
rnacentral:rRNA from 1 species